rnacentral:ncRNA from 2 species
UGAAUAAUUAGAAAUCAAGGUUCCUCUUCGGAGGAUGAAAAGGGAAGCCGGUGUAAUUCCGGCGCGGUCCCGCCACUGUGAAACAAGGAGUUCCUUUCGAUAUACCCACUGGGAAACUGGGAAGGGGAAGGGAGCAUCGACUUGAAGCCAGGAGACCUGCCUUGAGCAUUUACUUAAC